UACAGAGGGUGCAAGCGUUGUCCGGAAUCAUUGGGCGUAAAGCGCGUGUAGGCGGCCCGGUAAGUCCGCUGUGAAAGUCGGGGGCUCAACCCUCGAAUGCCGGUGGAUACUGUCGGGCUAGAGUGCGGAAGAGGCGAGUGGAAUUCCUGGUGUAGCGGUGAAAUGCGCAGAUAUCAGGAGGAACACCAAUUGCGAAGGCAGCUCGCUGGGACGUGACUGACGCUGAGACGCGAAAGCGUGGGGAGCAAACAGG
rnacentral:rRNA from 1 species